rnacentral:rRNA from 1 species
UACGUAGGGUGUAAGCGUUGUCCGGAAUUAUUGGGCGUAAAGAGCUUGUAGGCGGUUUGUCGCGUCUGCUGUGAAAUUUCGGGGCUCAACCCCGAACUUGCAGUGGGUACGGGCAGACUAGAGUGUGGUAGGGGAGACUGGAAUUCCUGGUGUAGCGGUGAAAUGCGCAGAUAUCAGGAGGAACACCGAUGGCGAAGGCAGGUCUCUGGGCCAUAACUGACGCUGAGAAGCGAAAGCAUGGGGAGCGAAACAGG